GGAGGAUUGCCUGAGUGGUUAAGGGAACAGUUUGCUAAACUGUGACGGCCUAUAAAGCCGUUCGUGGGUUCGAUUCCCACAUCCUCCG
rnacentral:tRNA from 1 species